CGCCUGGGGAGUGCGGCCGCAAGGUUAAAACUCAAAUGAAUUGACGGGGGCCCGCACAAGCGGUGGAGCAUGUGGUUUAAUUCGACGCAACGCGAAGAACCUUACCUGGCCUUGACAUCCAGAGAGCUUUCCAGAGAUGGAUUGGUGCCUUCGGGAACUCUGAGACAGGUGCUGCAUGGCCGUCGUCAGCUCGUGUCGUGAGAUGUUGGGUUAAGUCCCGUAACGAGCGCAACCCCUAUCCCUGGUUGCUAGCAGGUAAUGCUGAGAACUCCAGGGAGACUGCCGGUGACAAACCGGAGGAAGGUGGGGAUGACGUCAGGUCAUCAUGGCCCUUACGGCCAGGGCUACACACGUGCUACAAUGGCGCGUACAGAGGGCUGCCAUCUCGCGAGAGUGAGCCAAUCCCUUAAAACGCGUCGUAGUCCGGAUCGGAGUCUGCAACUCGACUCCGUGAAGUCGGAAUCGCUAGUAAUCGCGAAUCAGAAUGUCGCGGUGAAUACGUUCCCGGGCCUUGUACACACCGCCCGUCACACCAUGGGAGUGGAUUGCACCAGAAGUAGUUAGUCUAACCUUCGGGAGGACGAUUACCACGGUGUGGUUCAUGACUGGGGUGAAGUCGUAACAAGGUAACCGUA
rnacentral:rRNA from 1 species